rnacentral:rRNA from 1 species
GACGAACCGUGCGAACGUUGUUCGGAAUCACUGGGCUUAAAGGGUGCGUAGGCGGCUGCCUAAGUCAGGUGUGAAAUCUCCCGGCUCAACCGGGAAACUGCGCUUGAUACUGGGCGGCUCGAGUGAGGUAGGGGUGUGUGGAACUUCCGGUGGAGCGGUGAAAUGUGUAGAUAUCGGAAGGAACGCCAGCAGCGAAAGCGGCACACUGGGCCUUUUCUGACGCUGAGGCACGAAAGCCAGGGGAGCGAACGGG